rnacentral:tRNA from 1 species
GUAGCUCAGUGGUAGAGUGUGUGCUUAGCAUGCACGAGGUCCUGGGUUCAAUCCCCAUC